UUUUUUUCAUAGAAGACAGCGAUUUUAUGUCAGAUAUCGAUUCUGAGGAAGAUUUUGAAGUUGAAGUGAUGUUUAAUGAACAUGUUAGAAAUGAUAAUUUCUAACCAUCUAGCAAACUACUAGUGGUACUGUGGUAAUCGUACUGAAAAUGGCUCAGGCGCAACUCGAACUUGAAAUGCAUUGAAAUGGUACACAAAUCCGUUCCAAGAGGGUUAGUACCGGUAAUUGGUUCGGGAUCGAAAGAAAACCGUUCAAGGGCGAUUCUGCGCAUUAAAACAGUCCAAUCGAUUUCGUGGCCGUUCAAGGGAUCGUACAAAUGUGUCGUCUUGGAACGAACCUUUUAAGAGAGGCCAUUUACUGUUCAAUUUGCGUUCAUUUUCAAAUUUGCCGCGCGAGUAUCUAUGUAGCGUCGCGUGGUCAUUGGUCAUCACAUUUCAUUUUCAUAAGAUAACCAUAACCGAUAACCUAAAAAUUUAGUAAAAAUUUUGAUUGGAAAAAAAUGCAUCGAUAAGGGGGUGUGGGAAAUGGAAAUUAGUGGCUUUUUUGCUGUACUGCCUGCUAGUUUUUGCUCUGGGCUCUGGCUUAAUCUCUUGUUUAAACAAUUUUAAUCAGCUGAAAGUGGCCUACAAAAAAAAACCAAGAAGGAAAUGUAUAGCCUUGUGGCUAUGAAAGGCAAAAGAGAGAUAUAAAAAGUGUAUUGGCUAGUUGGAAGAAAGUCCACAUUGUCCAUGCAUAAUAAGUUAUUACUUUAUCAACAAAUAUCAAGAAGAUAGCAGGGUCACGAGCAACAACUUCAUAAGUUCAAGAAUAUCGAGGAAAUCCAGCUCCUACUGGGCAAACUAGAAGAUUGAAGAGGACAAAGCCUUUUGAACUAGUUUGAGUGAUAGGUGAUAGUGAAAAACGGAGCAUAGUGCUUGUGUGCUGUGCCUGUGUAUGUUAGAAUAGUGCACGAUCUUGUUAGAUUAGAUAAGAGACGCUAUGGGGUAAGCUCUUCAUUUUAAGAAACAGUAGUAAUUUAGGUUAAAUUAAAAUUGCUCAUUGGUCAGUUAUGACCAGAUUGUUUUUUAUGUUUGGCAAAAAGGACUUAAGUCAGAAUUGCACAUUGAUAAUGUUUUGAUGAUUUCUGGACCAGAAAAAAACUGUUGUAGAUGUAAACUGUAUGUACAGUAGAAUCUACUACAGUACUGUAGAAAUCAUCAAAACAUUAUCGAUGUGCAAUUCUGACUUAAGCCCUUUUUCCCAAACAUCAGAGAAUUGUAAUGUACAAUAAUUCUCCUAUCUGCUUUUUCAUGAAUUUUGUAGGAGACGAAAAACCAUUUUUAGGAUCAUCUGCUAUCACAUGUAAAAUGACAUGUUUUGUAGUAAAUAGAUAGUUGAAUUUACUACAAAACAUGUCAAAAAAUAUAUGAAAACAGGAGGUGACUAUAAAAAAAGUUUUUAGUCUCUCUUACAAAACUCAUGAAAAAACAAAUCGGAGGUAUGUCACAUCAGUGACUAUAUCCAGGGAAUGGGUA